CCUACGGGUGGCAGCAGUGGGGAACAUUGCACAAUGGGCGCAAGCCUGAUGCAGCCAUGCCGCGUGUGUGAAGAAGGCCUUCGGGUUGUAAAGCACUUUCAGCGGGGAGGAAGGCGUUAAGGUUAAUAACCUUGUCGAUUGACGUUACCCGCAGAAGAAGCACCGGCUAACUCCGUGCCAGCAGCCGCGGUAAUACGGAGGGUGCAAGCGUUAAUCGGAAUUACUGGGCGUAAAGCGCACGCAGGCGGUCUGUCAAGUCGGAUGUGAAAUCCCCGGGCUCAACCUGGGAACUGCAUUCGAAACUGGCAGGCUAGAGUCUUGUAGAGGGGGGUAGAAUUCCAGGUGUAGCGGUGAAAUGCGUAGAGAUCUGGAGGAAUACCGGUGGCGAAGGCGGCCCCCUGGACAAAGACUGACGCUCAGGUGCGAAAGCGUGGGGAGCAAACAGGAUUAGAUACCCUAGUAGUC
rnacentral:rRNA from 1 species